GGUUGUCGUCAGCUCGUGUCGUGAGAUGUUGGGUUAAGUCCCGCAACGAGCGCAACCCCUACGUUUAGUUGCUAACAGGUGAAGCUGAGCACUCUAGACGAACUGCCGUUGACAAAACGGAGGAAGGUGGGAUGACGUCAAAUCAUCAUGCCCCUUAUGUUCUGGGCUACACACGUGCUACAAUGGCCGGUACAGACGGAGGCGAAGCCGCGAGGCGGAGCAAAUCCGAAAAAGCCGGUCUCAGUUCGGAUUGCAGGCUGCAAUUCGCCUGCAUGAAGUCGGAAUCGCUAGUAAUCGCAGGUCAGCAUACUGCGGUGAAUACGUUCCCGGGCCUU
rnacentral:rRNA from 1 species